GACGAACGCUGGCGGCGUGCUUAACACAUGCAAGUCGAACGGCAACGCACUGAGUUUGUGGGGUGCUCGAGUGGCGAACGCGUGAGUAACACGUGAAUAACCUGCCCUUCUCUUUCGGAUAACUUCAGGAAACUGGGGCUACUACCAGACAGCAGCCCCUGCUGCAUGGAGGGGGUUGGAAAGUUUCAGCGGGUGGGGCUGGACGAGCGGCUUAUGAGCUUGCUGGUGGGCGAGUGGCUUACCAAGGCUUUGACGGGUACGCGGCCCGAGAGGGGGACCGGCCACAUUGCGACUGAGAUACGGACCAGUCUCCUAUGGUAGGCAACGGUGGCGAAUAUGGCACAAUGAGCGGAAGCCUGAUGCAGCAACGCCGCGGGCGGGAUGACGGCUUGCGGGUUGUGAACCGCUGUCGCCUGUUACGAAGCGUGAGUGACGGUAAUGGGUAAAGAAGCACCGGCUAACUUCGUG
rnacentral:rRNA from 1 species